rnacentral:rRNA from 1 species
CCUACGGGUCGCAGCAGUGGGGAAUAUUGCACAAUGGGGGAAACCCUGAUGCAGCAACGCCGCGUGAGUGAUGAAGGCCUUCGGGUUGUAAAGCUCUGUCUUCAGGGACGAUAAUGACGGUACCUGAGGAGGAAGCCACGGCUAACUACGUGCCAGCAGCCGCGGUAAUACGUAGGUGGCAAGCGUUGUCCGGAUUUACUGGGCGUAAAGGGAGCGUAGGCGGAUACUUAAGUGGGAUGUGAAAUACCUGGGCUUAACUUGGGUGCUGCAUUCCAAACUGGGUGUCUAGAGUGUUGGAGAGGAAAGUGGAAUUCCUAGUGUAGCGGUGAAAUGCGUAGAGAUUAGGAAGAACACCAGUGGCGAAGGCGACUUUCUGGACAAUAACUGACGCUGAGGCUCGAAAGCGUGGGGAGCAAACAGGAUUAGAUACCCUUGUAGUC